GAUGAACGCUGGCGGCGUGCCUAAUACAUGCAAGUCGAGCGAACAGACGAGGAGCUUGCUCCUCUGACGUUAGCGGCGGACGGGUGAGUAACACGUGGAUAACCUACCUAUAAGACAGGGAUAACUUCGGGAAACCGGAGCUAAUACCGGAUAACAUGUUGAACCGCAUGGUUUAACAGUGAAAGACGGUCUUGCUGUCACUUAUAGAUGGAUCCGCGCCGCAUUAGCUAGUUGGUAAGGUAACGGCUUACCAAGGCAACGAUGCGUAGCCGACCUGAGAGGGUGAUCGGCCACACUGGAACUGAGACACGGUCCAGACUCCUACGGGAGGCAGCAGUAGGGAAUCUUCCGCAAUGGGCGAAAGCCUGACGGAGCAACGCCGCGUGAGUGAAGAAGGUCUUCGGAUCGUAAAACUCUGUUAUUAGGGAAGAACAAAUGCGUAAGUAACUAUGCACGUCUUGACGGUACCUAAUCAGAAAGCCACGGCUAACUACGUG
rnacentral:rRNA from 1 species